UCAAAGCCGCAAAUACCGUGGAAUUAUAGUUGUUGUUGUUGUUAUUAUUAUUAUUAUUAUUAUUUUAUUAUUAUUUUGAGACAGAGUUUCGCUCUUUUUCCCAGGCUGGAGUGCAGUGGCCUCGAUCUAGGCUCACUGCAACCUCCGCCUUCAGGCUGAGGCAGGAGAAUGGCGUGAACCCGGGAGGCGGAGCUUUCAGUGAGCAGAGAUUGUGCCACUGCACUCCAGCCUGGGAGACAGCGAGACUCUAUCUCAGAAAAAUAAAAUAAAAUAAAAUAAAAUACUAAGUUGUCCAACAUAGUUCUCAUUUUCCUGUGUUUACUACUGUCGUACUUUGUUUAAAUAUCAGGCUUCAAAUUAUUUCAAUAAAUGGAUCUCCUUUUGAGGGCCACUGUUUUGGGGGCUCCUUAAAUGCAGGCACUCUGCCUACUGGGUGACGCAGCAGUGCCCAGUACCCUCAGUACAGGAGCUGGGGUCUCUGUGUUUUCGGGGAGGACCUUGCAAAUUCUCGAGUGGCAGCUUCCAUGGGUGGCCACUGUUGGAGGGGACUCCUCAUUCACCCACCCUUUGUUUACUGGUGCCUGCCUUUCCCCACCCACACAGAGGGCCGGGCCUGCGCGGUGGUCUUUGACUGCAAGUUCAUUGAGACAUCAGCGGCAUUGCACCACAAUGUCCAGGCGCUGUUUGAAGGUGUCGUGCGCCAGAUACGCCUGCGCAGGGACAGCAAAGAAGCCAACGCACGACGGCAAGCAGGCACCCGGAGGCGAGAGAGCCUUGGCAAAAAGGCGAAGCGCUUCUUGGGCCGCAUCGUAGCUCGUAACAGCCGCAAGAUGGCCUUUCGCGCCAAAUCCAAGUCCUGCCACGACCUCUCGGUUCUCUAGGUCCCACCCGCUCCCACUAUGGUGGGAGACGAACGGAAGGGUUGGUGGGCUGGCCCAGCCAACUGCCCCGGGUGCCUCAGAGCAGGCUCAGACUCUGGGUCCCUCGGAGCUGCCAGCCGGGCACCCCCAACCUCAUGGUCAUGGACAGAUAGACAGUGCUGCCCUGCGAAGUGGCUCUCAGGGGCCAGUGAGGGCUGGGCCCACAGAGAUGCAUGCGCAGGCUCAUAUGCGUCCCAAGCAGCCGCAGCGCAGCCGCCGGGCAGGCCUGCGUGCCGGGAGAGGACUCUGCCUUUUUUCACAGCCCGGGUGUGCCUGCCCUGGAGGGAGGCUCUUCAGUGCGGUAGCUAUUUGUUUACAUGCAGAUUUUUG
rnacentral:lncRNA from 10 species